CUAUCGUGGCGGUCUUUCUUACUCUUUUUUUACAGAUCAUUAUGCAGUCAUGCCACCUUUAGAGCAAUUCAUGGAGAUCCCAAGCAUGGACCGGAGAGAGCUGUUCUUCCGAGAUAUUGAACGUGGUGACAUCGUGAUUGGAAGAAUUAGCUCGAUUCGGGAAUUUGGUUUUUUCAUGGUGUUGAUCUGUUUGGGAAGUGGCAUCAUGAGAGAUAUAUCUCACUUAGAAAUCACAGUAAGUCACUAUACAGUCAUCCCAUGCAAAAAUUAUGUGCUUAUUCAAGUCUGCUUAAAUUUACCCGGUAGGGUAUUGGGGGUGGGGGUGGGGUUAAAUAUAAGCUGAAGAAAACAAAUACACUUUCUCUUCUUACUAAAUGCCUUAGAGAGCAGGGCAUUGGCAAUGUAGACUCUAACCCUAGUACUCAGGAGGCAGAGGUAGGCUGAACUUGUAGUUAAAGGCCAGUCUGAGCUCUGUAGUGAAACCCUGUCUC
rnacentral:lncRNA from 1 species